AUUACCCACUCCCGGCACGGGGAGGUAGUGACGAAAAAUAACGAUACGGAACUCAUACGAGGCUCCGUAAUCGGAAUGAGUACACUUUAAAUCCUUUAACGAGGAUCUAUUGGAGGGCAAGUCUGGUGCCAGCAGCCGCGGUAAUUCCAGCUCCAAUAGCGUAUAUUAAAGUUGUUGCGGUUAAAAAGCUCGUAGUUGGAUCUCGGUUUCACUCAGGUGGUACACCUUGCGGUGUUCACUAUCUGGGUGGACGUUUCUGUUGGUUCGCUCUUGGUGCUCUUCAUCGGGUGCCAUUUGGUGGCCAGCACGUUUACUUUGAAAAAAUUGGAGUGCUCAAAGCAGGCGUUACAGCCUGAACAUUAGUGCAUGGAAUAAUGGAAUAGGAUCUCGAUUCUAUUUCGUUGGCUUUCGGAGUCGAGGUAAUGAUUAAUAGGGACAGACGGGGGCAUUCGUACUGCGACGUUAGAGGUGAAAUUCUUGGAUCGUCGCAAGACGAACUACUGCGAAAGCAUUUGCCAAGAAUGUUUUCAUUAAUCAACGAAAGUUAGAGGUUCGAAGGCGAUCAGAUACCGCCCUAGUUCUAACCAUAAACGAUGCCAACCGGCGAUCCGUCGUCGUUAAUUGAAUGACUCGACGGGCAGCCUCCGGGAAACCAGAGUGUUUGGGUUCCGGGGGAAGUAUGGUUGCAAAGCUGAAACUUAAAGGAAUUGACGGAAGGGCACCACCAGGAGUGGAGCCUGCGGCUUAAUUUGACCCAACACGGGAAAUCUCACCAGGCCCGGACACCGGAAGGAUUGACAGAUUGAGAGCUCUUUCUUGAUUCGGUGGGUGGUGGUGCAUGGCCGUUCUUAGUUGGUGGAGCGAUUUGUCUGGUUAAUUCCGAUAACGAACGAGACUCUGGCCUACUAACUAGAAGGUCUAUCCUUUAUGGGUAGGCCUCUGCUUCUUAGAGGGACGGGCGGCGUUUAGCCGCACGAGAAUGAGCAAUAACAGGUCUGUGAUGCCCUUAGAUGUUCUGGGCUGCACGCGCGCUACACUGAAGGAAUCAGCAUGUUCUCCCCUCCCUGAAAAGGGCGGGUAACCCGUUGAAACUCCUUCGUGAUGGGGAUUGGAGAUUGUAAUUAUUCUCCAUGAACGAGGAAUUCCCAGUAGGCGCGAGUCAUCAGCUUGCGUCGAUUACGUCCCUGCCCUUUGUACACACCGCCCGUCGCUACUACCGAUCGAGUGAUUUAGUGAGGACUUCGGACUGGUCUUCAAGUUGGCUUCGGUCGGCUCGAAGUUCCGGAAAGAUGCCCAAACUUGAUCACUUAGA
rnacentral:rRNA from 1 species